rnacentral:rRNA from 1 species
UACGUAGGGUGCAAGCGUUAAUCGGAAUUACUGGGCGUAAAGCGUGCGCAGGCGGUUUUGUAAGUCUGUCGUGAAAUCCCCGGGCUCAACCUGGGAAUGGCGAUGGAGACUGCAAGGCUAGAGUUUGGCAGAGGGGGGGUAGAAUUCCACGUGUAGCAGUGAAAUGCGUAGAUAUGUGGAGGAACACCGAUGGCGAAGGCAGCCCCCUGGGUCAAAACUGACGCUCAUGCACGAAAGCGUGGGGAGUAAACAGG